UUUGAUUAUGACAAAAAUAAUAAGUGCAUAUGCAUGUUAUGAAUGAAUCUUAUAUGCAGUGAGCAGCUGUAUUUCUAAAAUAGAUAAUCAUGAAUGUCAUUUAUAAUGAUAUGGCAAUUUAGACAUUAAGACAUUUUACAUCCUGGAUCCAGAACAUACCUGACUAGUUAUAGAUGUACCUCUUUGGCUCCAUGUAUGUUUCCAGGAUGUCUGUUGAUCAGCUAUUCAUCUGUUUGGUCUUCUUACUCCUUCUCCCCUUGGGAUGAUUACUUUCCUGCUUUGCUUUGUUCCCCCUCAGAUGUAUGCUUUUCUUCUCCUUCUGGCUCCCCCUCAGCUUCGGCAUACAUGGGCUCAUCAUUCCUUGGCUCCCCCUCGGAUGAUGACUCUGCCUCUUCUUCUGUUAUAUUCUUCUUUGACUUCUUCUCUCAUAUCCUUCUGCUCUUCUUUGAGUGCCUCUUGUUCUUCCUCUUUCUAUGUCACUUUUUCUCCCCCUUUUUGUCAAUAAUCAUUUGGGAGAGCUGCUCCAUGUUGGACAUAAUUUGCUCCAUCAGGUAGGAGGAGUUGGCAACUUCAAACUUGAGUUCAUGUUGGCCUAGCUCCAGUUGCACUGAGAAGGACUGCUUCAUGUCAUCAAUCUUGUCAGAGAGGACUUGGAUCUGCUCUUCAUUGGCCUUCUGAGCUCGUAGAGCUUCUGCCUUUUG
rnacentral:lncRNA from 1 species